UACGAAGGGGGCUAGCGUUGCUCGGAAUCACUGGGCGUAAAGCGCACGUAGGCGGAUCUUUAAGUCAGGGGUGAAAUCCUGGAGCUCAACUCCAGAACUGCCUUUGAUACUGGGGAUCUCGAGUCCGGAAGAGGUGAGUAGAACUCCGAGUGUAGAGGUGAAAUUCGUAGAUAUUCGCAAGAACACCAGUGGCGAAGGCGGCUCACUGGCCCGGUACUGACGCUGAGGUGCGAAAGCGUGGGGAGCGAACAGG
rnacentral:rRNA from 1 species